rnacentral:rRNA from 1 species
GACGAACCGUGCGAACGUUGUUCGGAAUCACUGGGCUUAAAGGGCGCGUAGGCGGGCUGACAAGUCUGGGGUGAAAUGCCGCGGCUCAACCGUGGAACUGCCUUAGAUACUGUCGGCCUCGAGGAAGGUAGGGGCAUGCGGAACUGUAGGUGGAGCGGUGAAAUGCGUUGAUAUCUACAGGAACUCCGGUGGCGAAGGCGGCACGCUGGACCCCUUCUGACGCUGAGGCGCGAAAGCCAGGGGAGCGAACGGG